GACAAUCUCAGAUAAGUAUAGGAAUUUUAGUACAUGAUUGAGAUCAUUUGGACUCAUGUACUGUAAGUCAUUGAAUGUUUUAAUCUUACAAUCAGUUUAAUUUGUUUUUUAUGAAGGUGCUGUUGUCAUGGACAUCAAAGUGAUUGCACAACACCAAGAUCACUCGUCAUCUCAAUUUGAGAAAUUAAACGGAGUUUUCUUAAUCAGCACCGUGUACUUUUUGCUGUUAGUUCCACGUGUUUUUUUAGAUUAAUUGUUUUGAUGAAAAGGAAAAACGUUCGAGAUGUUUGAUCCAAGAACCGAAUAAAACAUAGUAGAUAUUGCUGAAGGAGAUAAAGAUGAUGUUGAUUUCGCUGUUGAAGCUGCACGUUGAUCCACAAUAAGCAUUGCCCAGCUAAGUUUCCUAAAAUGAUAGUGGUUAUAACAAGUUAAUAAGGCAAAACACUUAUCUGCCUAACAACUGUUGGAUAUAACGAAGGUUGUACACAAAGUCUGAUGAACAUCAUCCACUAUUCAAGACCAAACCACUGAUGAAGACCAAAGUCAUGUUGAAGACAAGCACUGAUGAACCAAAGGUCUAAUCAACCAAAGGUGAACCACUGUCCAACAACAACAGUGGUUCAGCAUCAACAUUAGUUAUUCUAUCUUUGUUUAUGUUAACAGUGUUUAUAUGUAACAGUGUUUUUCACAUCACUGUUUUAUAGUCUGUUAGGUUGUUAGAUGUCAUCACCUCAGUGUUUUAUAUGUAACA